UGGUGGGUAGUUUGACUGGGGCGGUCUCCUCCUAAAGAGUAACGGAGGAGCACGAAGGUUGGCUAAUCCUGGUCGGACAUCAGGAGGUUAGUGCAAUGGCAUAAGCCAGCUUGACUGCGAGCGUGACGGCGCGAGCAGGUGCGAAAGCAGGUCAUAGUGAUCCGGUGGUUCUGAAUGGAAGGGCCAUCGCUCAACGGAUAAAAGGUACUCCGGGGAUAACAGGCUGAUACCGCCCAAGAGUUCAUAUCGACGGCGGUGUUUGGCACCUCGAUGUCGGCUCAUCACAUCCUGGGGCUGAAGUAGGUCCCAAGGGUAUGGCUGUUCGCCAUUUAAAGUGGUACGCGAGCUGGGUUUAGAACGUCGUGAGACAGUUCGGUCCCUAUCUGCCGUGGGCGCUGGAGAACUGAGGGGGGCUGCUCCUAGUACGAGAGGACCGGAGUGGACGCAUCACUGGUGUUCGGGUUGUCAUGCCAAUGGCACUGCCCGGUAGCUAAAUGCGGAAGAGAUAAGUGCUGAAAGCAUCUAAGCACGAAACUUGCCCCGAGAUGAGUUCUCCCUGAGACUUAAAGUCUCCUGAAGGAACGUUGAAGACGACGACGUUGAUAGGCCGGGUGUGUAAGCGCAGCGAUGCGUUGAGCUAACCGGUACUAAUGAACCGUGAGGCUUAACCU
rnacentral:rRNA from 1 species